rnacentral:rRNA from 1 species
AACGAACGCUGGCGGCAGGCUUAACACAUGCAAGUCGAGCGCCCCGCAAGGGGAGCGGCAGACGGGUGAGUAACGCGUGGGAAUCUACCCAUCUCUACGGAAUAACGCAUGGAAACGUGUGCUAAUACCGUAUACGUCCUUCGGGAGAAAGAUUUAUCGGAGAUGGAUGAGCCCGCGUUGGGUUAGCUAGUUGGUGGGGUAAAGGCCUACCAAGGCGACGAUCCAUAGCUGGUCUGAGAGGAUGAUCAGCCACACUGGGACUGAGACACGGCCCAGACUCCUACGGUAGGCAGCAGUGUGGAAUAUUUGAUAAUGGGCGCAAGCCUGAUCCAUCCAUGCCGCGUGAGUGAUGAAGGCCCUAGGGUUGUAAAGCUCUUUCACCGGUGAAGAUAAUGACGGUAACCGGAGAAGAAGCCCCGGCUAACUUCGUGCCAGCCGCCGCAGUAACAC